AUUGAACGCUGGCGGCAGGCCUACCACAUGCAAGUCGAGCGAGCGGCGGACGGGUGAGUAAUGUCUGGGACACUGCCUGAUGGAGGGGGAUAACUACUGGAAACGGUAGCUAAUACCGCAUACCAUCAGAUGUGCCCAGGUGGGAUUAGCUAGUAGGUGGGGUAACGGCUCACCUAGGCGACGAUCCCUAGCUGGUCUGAGAGGAUGACCAGCCACACUGGAACUGAGAAAAGGUCCAGACUCCGACGGGAGGCAGAAGUGGGGAAUAUGGAACAAUGGGCGCAAGCCGGAUGCAGCCAUGCCGCGUGUGUGAAGAAGGCCUUCGGGUUGUAAAGCACUUUCAGCGGGGAGGCGUUACCCGCAGAAGAAGCACCGGCUAACUCCGUGCCAGCCGCCGCGGUAAUAC
rnacentral:rRNA from 1 species